AAACUAGGAUUAGAUACCCUAUUAGAAAUAACAAAAAUUUAGUAGUAAGUGAUUGACAUGAAACUAAAAUUAAUUGGCGGCUAUUUAAAUUUUUUAGAGGAAUUUAUUCUGUAAAGGAUUAAACACCAAUAUCUUACUUUUAUUUGUUUAUCAGUUUGUAUACCUCUAUUUAGAGAUAUAAAAAUAUAUCUUUAUUUCUAUUUUUUAGAGUUAUAUUUUAGGUAAAGGUGCAGCUUAUGUAAAAGAUUGAAAUAAAUUAUAUUGAUUUAUAUUUAACGAAAUCUAUUUUGUAUAAAAUUUUUUAAGAAAAAUUUAAAAGUAAAAAUAAUAUAAUAGGUUAUUUUGAAUUAUAAUUUAAUUGUGUACAUAUUGCCCGUCACUCUCUUUUAGAGAUAAGUCGUAACAUAGUA
rnacentral:rRNA from 1 species